ACUCCUACGGGAGGCAGCAGUGGGGAAUAUUGCACAAUGGGCGAAAGCCUGAUGCAGCAACGCCGCGUGAGUGAUGAAGGCCUUCGGGUCGUAAAGCUCUUUGAUCAGGGAUGAUAAUGACAGUACCUGAAAAACAAGCCACGGCUAACUACGUGCCAGCAGCCGCGGUAAUACGUAGGCGGCGAGCGUUGUCCGGAAUUACUGGGCGUAAAGGAUGCGUAGGUGGAUACUUAAGUGGGAUGUGAAAUCCCCGGGCUCAACCCGGGAACUGCAUUCCAAACUGGGUAUCUAGAGUGCAGGAGAGGAAAGCGGAAUUCCUAGUGUAGCGGUGAAAUGCGUAGAUAUUAGGAGGAACACCAGUGGCGAAGGCGGCUUUCUGGACUGUAACUGACACUGAGGCAUGAAAGCGUGGGUAGCAAACAGGAUUAGAUACCCUGGUAGUC
rnacentral:rRNA from 1 species